CAUUUUUAUUAUAAAUCAGAGUUUUAAUACAUAAAAUGUACAAGUUUACAAAUUUAAGAAAUAGUAAUGGAAAAAUAGUGUUUAAAAUAUGAUUUUAUGUUUUUAAUGAGAUUAAAGAGAGAGAAACUUGAGUAGUCAAGUAUUGGACCCAAAUGUCAUAUAAUUUUAAGUGGGGAUUUUUAUAAAAUUAAGAAAGUUUUGCUAAAGGACUUAUUUGAAAAGAAUUUUAGUAUUUUGGGUCCAAGUGUAAUUUUUAAAAAUAAAAAAAAAAUAAAAAAAUAAAAAAAAAUAAAAAAUAAAAAAAAAGAAAAGAAAAGGCUUCAACCUUUCUUUUUACCCGAGCCCCUCUCUCUCUCUCUCUCUCUCUCCUCAGAAACUCUCUCUCUCUCCUCAGAAAACCUCUCUCUCUCUCUCCUCUACGUAUUACUGUUGCCGACGACGCAGGAGUACUUUCCGGCCACCAUUUUUAGCCACGCGCCGGACCGUUGGAUUCAGAGGCCUCCGAACUAUCGACCCACGCGGGAAUCUAGAGCUCACUCGCCGAUUAAACGCCUCAACCACUCGAUUUAAGUUCGGCCACCCCGCGACUUCAAAGUUGCGAUUCGGCCACCUCGGGCAUCCGUUUGCCGAUCCGUCACCACCAUCGUGCUCCUCGUGUUGUGGGCUUCAAAACCCAAUAACUUGUUCCUACAUCUACCAUAGUUGGGUGGUGGGCCCACCACGAGUCACCGCGAUCCACCGUAGACCGACGGUCGAAACUUAGUGUUCGAGGUUCCGAAGUACGUUUUGAGUCUCAGAAAAUCAUCGUUUGACUUAUUGUGGAACCCGAUCAUUUUGGAUUUGUAUGGAUUUGAUUGAUUGACUCUUGCUGAGCAAUAUUAAAAUAAGCUAAGGACCUAAGGUGUGGCUUUAGCUGUUGAGCAACUUGUGGAGCACGGACUCAGUAGCAAUGCAAUAAUGGUUUAGAGUUUUCAUAUGGCUGCCUUAAAUUUAAAGUAUUCAUACGUGUAAUAAUUUCUUCUAAUAAGUUUAUAUAAAAGUUUUAAAUUUUUCUGUAUUUCUUCGUAUCAUUUUAUUUAAUUCUUUUGGUCAAGUGCCUUACAUACUCGUAAACCCUAGAAUUACGAGUA